CUUAACAUAUCAUACUCAAUCACAUUAUAGGCUUUAAUACUUAAAACUUACCUCGAUCGCUAAUGUACGUCAAUUCCGACUAUUCGACCAAUUUCCCUUUUUCCACGAUCCGACUUUGUUUCCGUAAGCUCUUGAUGCUCAAUCAACAAUUUUUAACUUCAAAUUUGCAAACAGCAAUGUCAUCACUUUACAUAACAGAAAUUAAAUUUCAUUACUUAAACUAUCCACGACAAUCACCUUCCGAGCACCUUAAUUUUCUUUAAGCUAAACCACCUCAUAGUAUACAUAUACACAUUCGGCUAAUUAUAAAACAAAUCAGCACUCAUAACCGAAUCAUUGACUAAAAUCACAUUCGGUAAUAUGCUUUUAAAUAAUUUCAAUAUUUAUUAACAUCUAAAACUAAUUUGCUUGGGGAUCCAUGAAUUAUUCAAAUCGGUCGAAUAUCAUUGAAUCUCUAAAAUC
rnacentral:lncRNA from 1 species